rfam:Flavonifractor plautii ATCC 29863 genomic scaffold Scfld568, whole genome shotgun sequence.
AGUCUGCGAUGAUGCGGGAGAUUGCGGCGCGAGCCGGUAACUUCCGCGGAGUAUGUCCGAGCUAGAAUCGGGCGGCUG